AUGGACACAGAAAGGAUCUACCUCAGUUUAAAACCACCCAGGACUCCGGGGGCUCAGCGUGUAUCACCCCGGUCUCUUCCCCCAGAUGCCUGUUGGUGCCCACGUUCACACAGGUUGGCUCUGAAGCUCAGCUGUGCUGGGCUCAUCCUCCUUGUCCUGACCCUAAUUGGGAUGAGUGUCUUAGUGGGAGUCUUAAUACAAAAAACAUCAAUAGAAAAAUGCCCCGUGUAUUUUCAAGAGAACCUGAACAAAACAUGAGAUUGUCCAGCUGAGUUAGAGUGUCCACAAAACUGGCUUUCACACCGAGAUAAGUGCUUUUGUGUUUCUCAAGUUUCUAACACUUGGAAGGAAGGUCAAGCUGACUGUGAUAGAAAAGGAGCCACUUUGCUGCUCAUUCAAGACCAAGAAGAACUGAUCACUGGUGAUGAUAUAAAGAACAGCUGUGCCACCAUCUCAAUGGACAAAGUGGUUUCUGAGAGCUGUGAUUCAGAUGGACGUUGGAUCUGCCAAAAGGAACUAAAACUCGAAACCAUAUUUCAUGACUCCUGA